GAUGGAGAACGUAGCGAAAUGCGAUACGUAAUGUGAAUUGCAGAAUUCAGUGAAUCAUCGAAUCUUUGAACGCAUAUUGCGCUCUCUGGUAUUCCGGAGAGCAUGCUUGUUUGAGUAUCAGUAAACACCUCAACUUCCAUAUCUUUUUUGAAAUGGGAGUUGGACUUGAGUGAUCCCAACGCUUUUCCUCACCGAAAAGUGGCGGGUUACUUGAAAUGCAGGUGCAGCUGGACUUUUCUCUGAGCUAUAAGCAUAUCUAUUUAGUCUGCCUAAAAAACAGAUUAUUACCUUUGCUGCAGCUAACAUAAAGGAGAUUAGUUCUUGUGCUGACUGAUGCAGGAUUCACAAAGACGGCUUCGGCCGACUUUGUAAACUCGAUCUCAAAUCAAGUAAGACUACCCGCUGAACUUAAGCAUAUCAAUAAGCGGAGGA
rnacentral:misc_RNA from 1 species